UGCAGUCUGAUUAAACGGCCGACACAUCAUGCAGGGCUGCAGGAGGCUUCACCAGACAGACCGACUCACACUUCAGUCUCCACUCUGGCCCCUCAGUGUUUUGGUUUUACAUCUUCUCCUAACACACUCUUGUAAAGGUCAGUCUCGGUUAAUUGGUCCACUUCAGUCAAUACUGGCAGGAGUUGGGGAUGACAUAAUUUUGCCAUGUC